GUGUCUUUUCCUUUCAUAAAAACUUAUCUAUGAUUGACAAGAAAUUUGGUUUCUCCACUAGUGCGUACAAUAUUGAAUUUAAAUUCCUAUUGCAUUUCGUUUCAUCUUUGAUGUAUUCGAAAGCAGCUUUAUUAUUUUAUUAUUUUUGUGACGAAAAUUUUCAUGAUGUUCCUUUUUAUUUGAUAUUUAUAUUUGAAUGCCCAUUUCUCGUAUCUCACUCGGUGAUUGUUGUGUUUACUAUCUUAUUUUAUUCUGUUUAUUGUCGAAUGCUUUGCCUUACAAAUUUGACAUUAAAUUAUACGAAUGGCAACAGUUCUUGUCAACAUGCUUAUCUGGAACUAGCCGAUUUAAUGGAGGAAAGACAAAAAAUCUUUGGUUGCAUGUAUUUUUGGUGCAUAAUGUUUCACGUGGCAGAUAUAAUGUUGGCCCUGUUCAACGCUCUAAAUAUUGUAGAUCUUUCUUCUGUUAAUCCCUUUUCACUUAAUAAUAAUGCUAUCUCAUUGAUGUGGCAAAAUAUUAAAGUAAUCAUGAUAGCAAUGGCCAUCAAUGUAAUUCCAAUUUUUCUGCUCAUUCUGGCCCCAAUUUAUACCGCAAAUUUACUAUCGUCACAAGUUAACAAAUUGAAGAUCGUGUUGAUGGAUAGACUUUUGCAUGAAAGAGACAAAGAUCACUACGUUGCCCUAGACAAGUUCAUCUGUUACAUCGAAGCUCGACCCUUCAGAUACACUAUUGCUGACAUCAUACCCCUGGAGUGGACACUAGUCUCUAUUGUUUUAAAAAUUAUGUCUACGUACAUUAUUGUUCUCCUACAAAUGCAUUAAUUUAAUUAUUAAAGCGGGAUUUUAAUUCGCCCUAUCAUAAUUUGAUUAUAAUUUUAUUUCUUCGGUACAUAAUGUUAACUUCCUUUUAUUAUCUGUCACUUGUCAUUUCUUGAUCUAUCCACAGCCGCUUCUUUAUCGUCUGUUAUUUUAAUCUACAAUUUGGAAUUAAUUAUACUAUUUUAAGCUCAGGAUAAUGAAUAUUUAUCCAGAUAAUUUUAUCUCUUUGCUUAAUAUUAAGUGCAUGUAGCCAUUGUGGCAUGGACUGGCCACUUGUUUCUGUAUUUUUAUGACGAUGUUAUUAACUGUCAGUGUCAAGCUCAAUAAAUCAGUCUACAGCCAGCUUCCGUCUUUCAUUCGUUGCAUUGGCGCAGUCGGUUGAAAUUAUUAUUUGUUUUUGUGUUAAUCCUUAAAUACUAUGCCGAUCGGUAAAUUAGAGGCGUUUAAUGCGAAUUCGCAACAAUGGCCGGCAUACAUACGUCGCGUAAAUCAGUAUAUUUUGUUAAAUGAAGUGAAGAAUGAGUUAAAAGUGCCUUUAUUAAUUACGGUUGUUGGCGAAUCAACAUAUGCUUUAAUGUGUGAUCUGUGUUCACCGGAGUUACCAGAAAAUAAAUCAUAUGAUGAUUUAGUAGCCUUAAUUAAAGAGCAUUUAGAACCCCAAAGAUCAGAAAUUGCGGAACGUCACGUAUUUAGACUACGAAGACAACGAACCGGAGAAUCCAUGAUGGAGUAUUUGCAGGCUUUAAAGCAUCUUGCCGCGACUUGUAAUUUUGGUAAAUGCAAUUCGUGUUCGACGUUAGAGGAAAAUCUGAGGGAUCAGUUUGUGUCUGGAUUGAUCAAUGAUGCCAUGCGAUCCAGAAUUUUUGCGGAAAAGCAUAUCAAGUACAAGGAAGCUGUGGAGCUGGCUUUGGCUCUGGAGGCCGCGGAGAAGCACGCGGAAGUCAGUGGUACCAGGGAGAGUGUAAACCCGGGGUCGAGCAGCGUCGACGCGGGGGAUGGUCUCCAUUAUACUCGCGGGGGACGAGGAAUAGCACGGGGGCAGCGGGGUCGAGGCGCAGGGCG